rnacentral:rRNA from 1 species
GACGAACGCUGGCGGCGUGCUUAACACAUGCAAGUCGAACGGACAGGCCCUGCUUUUGCGGGGUGCUCGAGUGGCGAACGGGUGAGUAACACGCGAGUAACCUGCCCUUGACUUUGGGAUAACUUCAGGAAACUGGGGCUAUUACCGGAUAGGAGCUCCUGCUCCAUGGUGGGGGUUGGAAAGUUUCGGCGGUUGUGGAUGGACUCGCGGCUUAUCCGCUUGUUGGUGAGGUAGUGGCUUACCAAGGCUUCGACGGGUAGCCUGCCUGAGAGGGUGACCGGGCACAUUGGGACUGAGAUACGGCCCAGACUCCUACGGGAGGCAGCAGUGGGGAAUAUGGCACAAUGGGCGGAAGCCUGAUGCAGCAACGCCGCGUGCGGGAUGACGGCCUUCGGGUUGUAAACCACUUUCGCCUGUGACAAAGCGUGAGUGACGGUAAUGGGUAAGGAAGCACCGGCUAACUACGUG